UCGGGUCCUGGGAUCGUUUCGGGUCCUGGGAUCAUCUCGGGUCCUGGGAUCAUUUCGGGUCCUGGGAUCAUUUCGGCUCCUGGGAUCAUUUCGGCUCCUGGGAUCAUUUCGGGUCCUGUACACAAUUCACUAGAGGGCAAGCUGUAGUCGCCAUCUUGGAACUUAGAAUUUCACAUCUACGAUUUAUGUAUUUGUGCAAAAUUAAGGCCUAAUUGGCGAUUUUAUUGCUCCAUAGCUUUACUUCUUGCAAAUUAUAGUGGAAAGUCGUGCUCACUUGGAUUAAUUACGCCACAUUUUGUUAUCUUUUUACAUUUGCAACGCGUAUAGACCCGUAGCUCAAGAAGGAACAUGUGCUGACUACUUUAGUCAGUUAGAGACAGCUUCAAUACCUAAUCUUGAUGUGAUCUGAAUACAAAAGAAUGAACUAAAGUUAUUUAACUAAAUUGCUUAAUCUAUUAAAGUUAUCUGAGUCAAUUAUGGAAACUAACUACUGUACUAAAUCGCUAUGGUGUUAUGAAUAAGCUUUUUCCCCGCUAGAGUUUUAUGCUUCCUUUAGAUAAGUUUUGUUUUCAUCCUUGAGUACCUUUAUCCCUCAUUGAAUGUCAUUAUAUUUUUAUGGAACAAUUUCAAUAAACAACUAGAGAAUUGUGUUGUCUUUGUAGUGUUGUUGACCUUGAUCCUUGAUCUUGAUACAUUCUUUUUUUAUAAGAACAACGUCUGCAUUUUAGAGCGCAUCAGGACUUAAAAAGUAAUAUUUUUCUGAUAUCUUAGCCUCGGCAUGUUCUUAGCAUGUUCUUAAAAUUUUAUGAAAUCUAAUGCAGGACGUUUUUAUAAAAAAGUUUUUUUUUUUUUAAAAAGAGUACUAAUAAUGUCUGGAAAUUCUAUAGCUCUCUCAUUUGACUUCAAAAUUUGUUCGUUAAAUGAUAGCAUAAAUAGAUAUUGUUGUUUACUUAGCACUUGGGUGUAAAGGCCCAUUUACACGGCACGAUUUUGGCCUACGACUUGUAGUAUACGACUUCAAGUCCCGCCGUGUAAAUGCCCCUACGACUUGCUUACGACUGUCGCACGCGACUCACGACUUGUAGUAGGGUUUUGAGCAAUGCAUCAAAAUCCUACGACUAGCCGUAGGAAAAUUUAGUUUUUGCACCAAUCAAAUUGCGAGUUUAUCCAUUCGAGAGAACGAGGCUCGAAUAGUGAAGAUGGCGGGUUCGAAUCACAAACUAGUUCAUCCUUUAAUGACAAACGACAAGUUUAAACAGCAAUCUAUGUUUUCUAAGACAAUGUAUUAUUCAACUACGAUCGUUGGAGUUCUACCACGAGAAACGUACUGGCGAAAACUAUUGACGUUGCUCUGUUAUCGUGACAAUCAUUCCGUCAACACAUGUCGACAAGGCUGGUACGGAUAUCAAUAAUUACUGACUCAUUACUGGUUGAGAUUUGAAUCAAUCGCUACUGGUAGGCUUUAUUUAUUUUAACAGAAAUUAGCGGCACUGAUUCAAGAUACUUAGGUUGCAAUGUUGAUUGAAAUUUAGCCUUCACGUGAAUUGUUGACUCGGAUGGUUUAUACACGAGUUGAUCGUUUUAUUGUUAUCGUUAAGUAUCAGGACGCUGUGUUUUAUACAAAGAUGAAGAUUGUGUAAAUAGUAUUGUUGAAAAAGCAGGGAUCAAAUACUGAGUAAAUAAAUUAUUAAAUUUGUUUGAGGGCAUAAAGUGUAAGUCCUUGUAUAUUUUUCACGUUUCCAUGGAAAUGUUAUUUUCCCGCCAUCUUUUGAGCGUUUUUGCUUUCCACUGUCAAACAUAGCGGAUUUGAAGAAAAAAAAGCUACAAAUUACAGACGAGGAGACAGAAAAACUAAUCGAGCUUUGGUCAAAAAAGGAAGUUCUAUUUAAUUGUUCGCACCCAGAUCAUUUUAAGAAAGAUUCAAGGGCAACAGCGCUAGCUGAUAUUGUUGAGAAAGCUGACAUUCCCGGACUGACAGCAGAGGAACUCGAAAAGUAGUUGGCAGGUCUACGAACCUAUUACGGGAGGGAAAUUGGUAAAGAAAGAAUGACAAAGGUAUCAGGCACGGGAACAAAGGAUGUCUUGUCUAUGUCUCUAAGUGGCCGUCCUUCACCUCCCUGCACUUCCUGAGGGAUAAUAUAACACCAAGAAAGACUACAAGUAGCCUAGAAGCGACAACAUCAGCUACAACAAGUACUGUGCGAGUUGAUGCAAUCAGUAUCGAGGAUGACAUGAAGGAGGAAGUUGAUGAAAACGUAAGGUCUGUCAACAAUAUUACUUGUCAAAAAUCCUCUAGAAAACUAGAGGAUGAGUUGUUAGAAGCAUGCAUUAAUGAAUUGAAAAAAACCCAAGCAAACUUCUACAUCCUCUGAAGAUGAUGGAGAUUUUUAAUAAAUAUAUUGCCAAGCAGCUAAAGAAAAUCCCAGAAGGCUACCGAAAGGAAACGCUAAAACUUGAACUGCAGCAGUGCAUCAUGAAAGCAAUGAUGCCUGCACCAGUAGCCAGACAGCCAAUUGCAACGAUUGAUUUUUCUGAUUUAGAAUAGAUUUUGGUUAUAUCAUUUUAUUUUGGGUCUUUGGGGGCUCGCUUUUUGGAUAAUGGGCGCUUAUUUGGGAAGGGAAGCAAUUUAAAGGAGGGUACUUAUUUGAAUCAUUGUGGUAUUCAUUGUUCUUUGCUUAGCUAUUGCAUAAACUUUGACUUUCUUAUUUUGUUCAAUUACACUUGUAAAUGCCACAUGUUCUUUGCAUGGUGCAUCACUCAUCACAAUGAUGAGGUAGAAACAAUUACAGUUAAAUAAACACAGUUGUAAAUUGAAAUCAAAGAAAUAGUAAUUGACUACUACUUGUAACAAUCACUGGACCGCAAACAAUUGAUGAAAUAAAAGGUAAUACAC